CUAGCAAGUCAAACUUUACAAAAAGAAUUUAGCAAGCCCUCCCGAAACCAAGCGAGCUACCCUAGGACAGCCAAUGAACGAACCCUCCUCUGUAGCAAAAGAGCGGGAAGACCCUCAGGUAGAGGCAACAAACCUAACGAGCCUGGAUAUAGCUGGUUGCUUGAGAAAGAAUUUAAGUUCACAUGAAAGCGACUAUCCCAACAAGGAAAAAUGAGCUUUUACUUUAAUCAAUUGAGUUACAGCCCAAUUAAUAAGGGAAACAACCCAAAUAAAUGAAUAAUGAUUAUAAUUUCUAAGAAUAAAAGUCCAGUAGGCCUAAAAGCAGCCACCUAAAAAGCGUUAAAGCUUAACUCAAAUAACAUCAAUAAUCCCAACAAAUAAUCUUAAUUCAACAAAACAAUCAAGCCAAUCUAUUUAUAGAUAAACUACUACUAGAAUGAGUAAUAAGGACAUAUCCUCUAUAAUACAAACAUAAAUCAGAAUGAACUAAUCACUGAUAAUUAAUGAAUAUAUCUACUAAAACAAGAACUAUAACAAAAUCAUUAACCCAACACAGGAGUAUUAAAGAAAGACUUAAAACUUAGAAAGGAACUCGGCAAACACAGGCUU
rnacentral:rRNA from 1 species